rnacentral:tRNA from 1 species
GCCCGCUUAGCACAGUGGCAGUGCGUUCCUCUCGUAAAGGAAAGGUCAACGGUUCAAUCCCGUUAGUGGGCA